GAACCACCUCCAACGCAGCCUUAGGAUCUGCUUCACAUCAAACUCUUUUUUCCCAGAUACUGACAUGCUUCUACAAAAAUAAGAUUACAUUGAUACAAGGUAGCUAUUGCCGUCUGGAGAGCCUGGACCGGGUAUCUUCCCUUGAGAAACCCCACCUGGUGAGUGGUGCAUCUAAGAUCUCCCUGUCCUGCACUGAAAGUUUGGAUAAGUGGGCAUUUCGCAGGAAAGAGAGGCCUUCCUCUGGAUGGUCCUGAUUCUCCUCGUAAAAGUGUUUAAAAUACGUUUCAAGUUCAGCUACAAUGGCUUCAGUGUCCCGAGCCCAACCUUCCUUCGUUUUUAAUUUCUUUAUGAAGUGUUGCGCUGUGUUGGGUUUGGUUGUUCUGGCAAGGAGUCUCCCUGAUUUAUUCCCCCAUCUGUAAAACUUAUUUUUCAUAUUAGAAAUUUUGUACUGUGCGCUAUCAUGUAAUAAAGUAU